rnacentral:rRNA from 1 species
GAGUUUGAUCCUGGCUCAGGAUGAACGCUAGCGACAGGCUUAACACAUGCAAGUCGAGGGGCAGCACAGGUAGCAAUACCGGGUGGCGACCGGCGCACGGGUGAGUAACGCGUAUGCAACUUGCCUAUCAGAGGGGGAUAACCCGGCGAAAGUCGGACUAAUACCGCAUGAAGCAGGGGCCCCGCAUGGGGAUAUUUGCUAAAGAUUCAUCGCUGAUAGAUAGGCAUGCGUUCCAUUAGGCAGUUGGCGGGGUAACGGCCCACCAAACCGACGAUGGAUAGGGGUUCUGAGAGGAAGGUCCCCCACAUUGGUACUGAGACACGGACCAAACUCCUACGGGAGGCAGCAGUGAGGAAUAUUGGUCAAUGGGCGUAAGCCUGAACCAGCCAAGUCGCGUGAGGGAUGAAGGUUCUAUGGAUCGUAAACCUCUUUUAUAAGGGAAUAAAGUGCGGGACGUGUCCCGUUUUGUAUGUACCUUAUGAAUAAGGAUCGGCUAACUCCGUGCCAGCAGCCGCGGUAAUACGGAGGAUCCGAGCGUUAUCCGGAUUUAUUGGGUUUAAAGGGUGCGUAGGCGGCCUUUUAAGUCAGCGGUGAAAGUCUGUGGCUCAACCAUAGAAUUGCCGUUGAAACUGGGGGGCUUGAGUAUGUUUGAGGCAGGCGGAAUGCGUGGUG